GUCACACUGCAGAGCGUAUUUAAAGAGACACCUCGCUCCGCGCUCGCUCCCCAGCACCAGACCCUCGCCCGAAAACGCCGCCGGGCGGACUGCACGACCCUGUGUUAUUCCCAAAGACAAUCUCCAUCCGUGGAGAAGCUGCAGGAACAGAAAUAUACACAAGAAAAUGGAUUUGGAAGGAAUUUUCCAUCCUUUAUUUAACAUUCUCAAGUCCAGAUAUGCCAGAACCGAGGUGCACCUGUCGUGAACCCGUCUGAGUGUGAGUCAGCAGGGCAGCCGCAGCCGGUGUAGACAGACAGGGCCUGUGGCUGUGCAGAAAGCGUCCCUGUCCCCCUACCCCAACCCUCCUGCAUCCUGGGCCACAGAGCUGGGCAUCCAGAGCCAAGGCGAGUGUGGAGGCCAGGGUGCCAGGGGCGGCGCAGCCCAGCCUCCCACCCGCAGCGAGGUUUGGGCUCUGCACACAUCCCACAGGUCCCUAUCCUGCCCCAAGGGGCCUCCUACCCGACAAGGUGGGUCCAAGUCCACUCCAGUUUUCGUCACAAACUCCGUUUUCUGGGGCACGUGCUGGCCUGGUGGCAGCCUCAGCAAGAGUCUCAGGAACUGCCCUGGGGGACUCCACACCCCUCCACCUGUUCCCCCUUUGGCCCUGGGUGACCCCACACCCCUCCACCUGUUCCCCCUUUGGCCCUGGGUGACCCCACACCCCUCCACCUGUUCCCUCCUUGGCCUCCACCCUUGCAUGGCUACUUCUGCCCCAGGUUCUGUGACACUGGCGCCUGUUCAGGGGGUCCCCAGGCCCUGCUGCCAUGGAUUUUGAGGGGCCUGAAGGAUGUACUAUUGGGAGGUUGUCAUGAAGACUCACAGAGGCAGAAUUAGAUGCAGGGGUGACAGCGUUCCGCUUCCCCGGCCUCUCAUUAUGGGGCUUUUGAGCGGGAUGUGCUCAGGGCCCCACUGCCCCAUCUAGCUGGUGUUCCCAGAGCCCCUCUGUGGGGACACUGUGCUGGUCCCUGAACUCCAGCUGAGGGACACAGGGUCCAGGCAGGCGACGGUCUAGUUCCCAGCUGGAGACGCUCUAGGCACCCCAGGACCUGGCCGCCCUGACUCCCUGGACACCGUUCCCUUGGAGCCUCGGAGCCCCCCCUGGUGUCCCCUGGGUGAUGGUCCUGGACAAGAGGGCUGGGAAGAAGCGGGCAGCAAGGGGAGGAUUCUGCCCCAGACGUCCCCAGGCCGGGGGUCCCCAUGGGCUCUGCCCUGACGUCUUACUCCUGCACCCAGCGGCUCCCACCACAGAGACUGCUCCAGAAGUCUCCGGGCGCUGUGUGGCAGGAUGAGGAGCUGCCCCCCUGGAGGAUCACGCAGGCCUCUGGGUGGCAUUCAGCAGGGUUGGCUGCGGCACCGGCUGACCACAGGGCCCACCUUUCCAGUCCCGGCAGGAGAGAAGCGUCUCAACCAUGUUGCAGGCACACGGGUGAGGGUGCUGCCUGCCUCCCUGACUCUUACCUCCCCAAGAGAGGAAAACAAAAGAAAAAAAGAUAAGACCAGGAAAUGGAAAUAAGACAAAGAAGAAUGAAAUUUUAAAAUCCGAACAAACCCAAACAUGCUGUUUCAAAACGUAAGUCCAUGAAGAGUCUCGUGGUGAGAAAGACAGAAUUCCUAGCCAGGAAAAUGCCCCGUGCUUGCCCCUUGGAGGCAGGUGCUCACCACGGCAGGGUCUAUCUAGGUGUUUAUUAAGGUGUCUCACCACGUAUCGCCCGGAUUCACCAGAGAUGCAGAGGCGGAGGAUACGUUCCUGUUUACAUUGAUACAUAGUUACAUAGGUGAAGAGCUUUACAGUGAGGAAGCGGCUCACGCGGCCAUGAGGGACCCAGGCAGGAGCUGCUGUUGCUGCCCCAGGUGCGAUUCCUUCCUCCUCAGGGAGGCUCAGCUCCCCGCUGCAGCCAGGUGGGCCCAGGCAGGCCUCCUUGGCCUACAGCGCAGACGGCCAAGUGCUGGUCACGGCCAUUGCAUCUACACCACCCCUUUCUCAGCAGCAACUCCACGAGUGCUCGAUGGGAAACUGCAGACAGCAGCCUUGCCAAGCGGAUGCCCAGGGCCGACCACCGCAGCCCCUCCAGCCACGUUCUCCAUCAGGGCAGCCUCCUGCUGGCUUCGGCACUGCAGGUAGCACACCAGCGAGGGGUGGGCCUGUGUGCCACGAAGCGUCAUCCAUGGACGUGCCACGAAGGGUUAUUCUUCUUUUGACUUUUUCUGAUGGUUUAAAACUGUAAGAACACACAGCUCACAGUCCACACGGAAGCAGGCAUGUGGCUCCUGCCUCACUGUGGGAGGAAAGAUGUUCUCAAAAGAAAUGGCUGGGUUUGCGGAGGGGUUUGUGGAGGGCCGGGCAGUCUGAACACAGCCCAGCUGGCCUUGGUGGAGGUGGGCCUGGCACAGGGGGGUGGGAGCAGUUCUUCCUGACGCAAAUCCUAACGCCUUCAACACUGACCUUCCAAAGAAACAGCUGCUGGACGCCGCCCGACAGCAACGAGAGCCCCACUCCUGAGGCGCGCGACUCUCGAGGGCUUUGUUGUUUAUUUGGCACCCGAGGCCCAGGCUCACAGGGUCUCGGGUGCAUGGGACCCCCCAGCCCUUCCCACUGCUCUGCGAUUCUUCCUCCCUUCUGGAAAGGUCAGUUUGGGGUUCUAUUCUGGGAGGGGCCAGGCCGCCACCUGGCCUCAUUAACUGGGCAGGCCACUGGGACCUCCUCCGAAAUGCUGGGGCCAUGGCCGAAGACUUGCCUCCCGCCAGGAGCCUUCAGCCCUCUUAGUAGUGGAUGUGGGCUUCCUCCCUCUGAGGGGACGUCCUGAUGGACACGAGAUGUGGGGCGCCCGUGGGUGGCCGCCUGCUCCUGCCACAGUCCCCCUUGGGGCCUGAGCUGCGGCUGCUGCCUCCGUAGGGAAGGAACAAUGGGGGAUGGGCCCGCCCCUACCCAGAGAGAGUGGGCCGUGUUGCCUGCAAGGCCUCAGCCAGGGGACCACGUUUCUCUGCAUCUUGUGGCUUUGGGUUCUGCAGGCUGUUUGUGGGAGAACGGGAAACAGUCCCAGAGAUGACGCUGCCUCAUGCAGGUUAACAGAGUUGGAGGUCAGGCCGACGCCUGAGGCUCAGGACGCUGAUGGGUGCCUUCCCUCGCCAGGGGUGAGCCCCCAGCCCCGUCUUCCCUCGCCAGGGUGAGCCCCUCCCCAGCCCCGAGUUUGGAGGGGCCGUGGCUGCCGGGGACUCGCGUGAGGAGCUUGCUGUAAAUACGGAGCUCUGGAGC
ensembl:lncRNA ADGRA1-AS1 ADGRA1 antisense RNA 1